rnacentral:tRNA from 1 species
AAUCUUAUAGUUUAAGUAGAAUGCGGGUUUUGGGGAUCCGAGGUCUCUGUGAUGGAGUAGGUUGA